GUUCAAUUCGACGCAACGCGAAGAACCUUACCCGGGUUUGACAUCCUGGGAAUCCCUGAGGAAACCGGGGAGUGCCACUUCGGUGGAACCCAGAGACAGGUGCUGCAUGGCUGUCGUCAGCUCGUGUCGUGAGAUGUUGGGUUAAGUCCCGCAACGAGCGCAACCCUCGUUCUUAGUUGCCAUCAUUCAGUUGGGCACUCUAAGAAGACUGCCGGUGUUAAACCGGAGGAAGGUGGGGAUGACGUCAAGUCAUCAUGGCCUUUAUAUCCGGGGCUACACACGUGCUACAAUGGCCGGUACAAAGGGCUGCGAACCCGCGAGGGGGAGCUAAUCCCAAAAAGCCGGUCUCAGUUCAGAUUGGAGUCUGCAAUUCGACUCCAUGAAGGCGGAAUCGCUAGUAAUCGCGCAUCAGCACGGCGCGGUGAAUACGUUCCCGGGCCUUGUACACACCGCCCGUCACACCACGAAAGCCGUUUGCACCAGAAGUCGGCAUGCCAACCCGUAAGGGAAGCAGCCGCCCAAGGUGUGUGCGGUGAUUGGGGUGAAGUCGUAACAAGGUAGCCGUAGGGGAACCUGCGGCUGGAUCACCUCCUUUCUAAGGAG
rnacentral:rRNA from 1 species